GACGAACGCUGGCGGCGUGCUUAACACAUGCAAGUCGAACGGUAAGGCCCUUCGGGGUACACGAGUGGCGAACGGGUGAGUAACACGUGGGUGAUCUGCCCUGCACUUCGGGAUAAGCCUGGGAAACCGGGUCUAAUACCGGAUAGGACUCCGGACUGCAUGGUCUGGGGUGGAGAGCUUUUGCGGUGUGGGAUGGGCCCGCGGCCUAUCAGCUUGUUGGUGGGGUGAUGGCCUACCAAGGCGACGACGGGUAGCCGGCCUGAGAGGGUGACCGGCCACACUGGGACUGAGAUACGGCCCAGACUCCUACGGGAGGCAGCAGUGGGGAAUAUUGCACAAUGGGCGCAAGCCUGAUGCAGCGACGCCGCGUGAGGGAUGACGGCCUUCGGGUUGUAAACCUCUUUCAGCAUCGACGAAGCGAAAGUGACGGUAGGUGCAGAAGAAGGACCGGCCAACUACGUGCCAGCCGCCGCUGUAA
rnacentral:rRNA from 1 species